GGAAGGUGUGCCGCGUGGGCGGCACUCCCCCUGCUAAGGGGAGCUAGUCUCUGGCUAGUGGUUCGACUCCACCUCCUUCCGC
rnacentral:tRNA from 2 species